rnacentral:rRNA from 1 species
CCUACGGGAGGCAGCAGUGAGGAAUAUUGGUCAAUGGCCGAGAGCCUGAACCAGCCAAGUCGCGUGAAGGAUGACUGCCCUACGGGUUGUAAACUUCUUUUGUCGGGGAGUAAAGUGAGGCACGUGUGCCUUCUUGUGUGUACUUUAUGAAAAAGGAUCGGCUAACUCCGUGCCAGCAGCCGCGGUAAUACGGAGGAACCGAGCGUUAUCCGGAUUUAUUGGGUUUAAAGGGAGCGUAGAUGGGUUGUUAAGUCAGUUGUGAAAUUGGGCGGCUCAACCUUAAAACUGCAAUUGAUACUGGCAGCCUUGAGUAGAGUAGAGGUAGGCGGAAUGCGUGGUGUAGCGGUGAAAUGCAUAGAGAUCACGAAGAACUCCGAUUGCGAAGGCAGCCUACUGGAC